AGCGAACGUUGGCGGCGCGCCUAACACAUGCAAGUCGAACGCGAAAAGCAUUCGUGCUGAGUAGAGUGGCGCAAGGGUGAGUAACACGUAAGUAAUCUGCCCUCCGGAUUGGGAUAACAUGCCGAAAGGCGUGCUAAUACCGAAUAAGACCACGACCUCUGCGGAGGUUGCGAGAAAAGGUGGGGAACCGAAAGGUCCUAUCGCGGGAGGAUGAGCUGGCGGCCUAUCAGCUAGGUGGCGGGGUAACGGCCCACCAAGGCGAAGACGGGUAGCUGGUCUGAGAGGAUGAUCAGCCACACUGGAACUGAGACACGGUCCAGACUCCUACGGGAGGCAGCAGUGGGGAAUUUUGCACAAUGGACGAAAGUCUGAUGCAGCGACGCCGCGUGUGCGAUGAAGGCCUUUGGGUCGUAAAGCACUGUCGAUCGGGACGAAAACUUCGGUAGUAAUACUAUUGGAGUCUGACGGUACUGAUAAAGGAAGCACCGGCUAACUCUGUGCCAGCCGCCGCGGUAACAC
rnacentral:rRNA from 1 species